CAGCAGCCACGGGAAUACGAAGGGUGCAAGCGUUACUCGGAAUUACUGGGCGUAAAGCGUGUGUAGGUGGUUGUUUAAGUCUGUCGUGAAAGCCCUGGGCUCAACCUGGGAAUUGCGAUGGAUACUGGGCGACUAGAGUGCGGUAGAGGAUAGUGGAAUUUCCGGUGUAGCAGUGAAAUGCGUAGAGAUCGGAAGGAACAUCUGUGGCGAAGGCGACUAUCUGGGCCAACACUGACACUGAGACACGAAAGCGUGGGGAGCAAACAGGAUUAGAUACCCCAGUAGUCCCUGUCUCUUAUAC
rnacentral:rRNA from 1 species